CAGUCGAACGAAGCACUCUAUUUGAUUUUCUUCGGAGAUGAAGAUUUUGUGACUGAUUGGCGGACGGGUGAGUAACGCGUGGGUAACCUGCCUCAUACAGGGGGAUAACAGUUGGAAACGACUGCUAAUACCGCAUAAGCGCACGGUACCGCAUGGUACCGUGUGAAAAACUCCGGUGGUAUGAGAUGGACCCGCGUCUGAUUAGCUAGUUGGUGGGGUAACAGCCUACCAAGGCGACGAUCAGUAGCCGACCUGAGAGGGUGACCGGCCACAUUGGGACUGAGACACGGCCCAAACUCCUACGGGAGGCAGCAGUGGGGAAUAUUGCACAAUGGGGGAAACCCUGAUGCAGCGACGCCGCGUGAGCGAAGAAGUAUUUCGGUAUGUAAAGCUCUAUCAGCAGGGAAGAAAAAAAUGACGGUACCUGACUAAGAAGCACCGGCUAAAUACGUGCCAGCAGCCGCGGUAAUACGUAUGGUGCAAGCGUUAUCCGGAUUUACUGGGUGUAAAGGGAGCGCAGGCGGUGCGGCAAGUCUGAUGUGAAAGCCCGGGGCUCAACCCCGGUACUGCAUUGGAAACUGUCGUACUAGAGUGUCGGAGGGGUAAGUGGAAUUCCUAGUGUAGCGGUGUAAUGCGUAGAUAUUAGGAGGAACACCAGUGGCGAAGGCGGCUUACUGGACGAUAACUGACGCUGAGGCUCGAAAGCGUGGGGAGCAAACAGGAUUAGAUACCCUGGUAGUCCACGCUGUAAACGAUGAAUACUAGGUGUUGGAGAGCAUUGCUCUUCGGUGCCGCAGCAAACGCAAUAAGUAUUC
rnacentral:rRNA from 1 species